GUGCUCGCUUCGGCAGCACAUAUACUAAAAUUGGAACGAUACAGAGAAGAUUAGCAUGGCCCCUGCGCAAGGAUGAACUACCUUCCUUUUUGUAGAACACUUUUUUUUU